UCCCUGGUGGUCCAGUGGUUAAGACUCAUGCUUGCAAAGCAGGGGCUCUGGGUUGAACCCUGGUCAGGGAA
rnacentral:tRNA from 1 species